CUCAAAGAAGGACUCCCUGGUGGUUCGGAGGUAAAGAAUCAGCCUGCAAUGCAGGAGUUGCAGGAGGCAACUGGUUCAGUCCCUGGGUCAGGAAGAUCCCCUGGAGGAGGGCAUGGCAGCCCACUCCAUUAUUCUUGCCUGGAGAUUCCCAUGAACAGAGGAGCCUGGAAAUCUACAGUCCAUAGGUCUCAAAGAGUCAGACACGACUGAAGAGACAGCACACAUACACGCACGGCCUCAAAGAAAUGGAAGCAAACUUCCCCUCACCACUCCCAGAUUUCUGGCCUCUGAAAUAAAGCGAACUUUCCUUUCCUCCAACCUUGCAGGUUUUUGAGGGGCGAGCAGUGUUUUGCAUCCGAAUAAGGCUGUGCUCUCGCGAUAUCUAGCUUCCUGGGGUUUUCCCAAGCGGAGCCAUCAGCCAUGCCAACGUGCCGGGAUGGUUCCGAUAAGUCCGCUGCUCCUGGCUAGCUUGCCCUGGGAGGAAGCUUUGGGGGGAACAUUCCUAGCAGUUCCUGAAACCAUUUGUUUCAGGGAUCCUCCCCGUGUCCCUCCUGCUCGGCGCUGGUUGUCAACUUAUGCUUUUCGUAAGUGGAAUGGAAAAAUGGACCCGGACAAGCUGAUGAACUCCAAGACCAAACCCUGCUUCUCCUCAUGAAUAAGCCUGUUGGAGGAUGAGAAACCACACAGAUCAGACCUCAGUCAGACUAACUGCGCCAGCCAGAGCCGCAGAGACGUGAGCGGGCCCAGCCAUCAUCAGUGGUGCUCCAGACCCACAAGCAAGAUGCACCAGCAAGGUGGCCCUCCAGCCAGCCCACUGGUGACCAGGAUGCCGUGAGCUAGUAAACAGAUGUUGCUGGUUUCAAGACACUGCCCUACAGAGUGGUUUGUUACACAGAGAUUUCCAAACGAUAUGUAAUUCUUUACACAGGUUUAUAAUGAGUCGUUUUUGCUUGUUUCUUUCUGCCCUACCCUCAGAUCUCUUCAGAGUUAUUUGUGGCCUCCAGUUUCUGGGGAUCUAUGGUGGUAGUCUUUUUUUCUUCUCAUUGACUCUGUCUCUUAUUCCAUUAGGUUUCAACUUCCUCCACUCUGCUAGGUCAGCUUCAGAGUUCCCUCUUCCAAAUUGUCAUUGUCAAUUCUGAUUUGGCAUCAUGUCCUCUCCUAUCUUUUUUUGGACUUAUUUAUUCCUUUAUUUCCAUCACAGUGGGAUUUCAGCAAAUGGUGGAGAUAAACCUCUGUAUUCAUAUGUGUUACUAUAUUCAUAAAUUAAAUACAACCCUCAAUUGCAAAAGCAAGAUGUACU
rnacentral:lncRNA from 1 species